AAAAAGGCUUUUCUCAAAGCCACCACAUGGACAAAAGAUUCCACCU
rfam:Cycloclasticus sp. symbiont of Poecilosclerida sp. M isolate specimen M Ga0097675_1111, whole genome shotgun sequence.